ACGAGAUACUAACUGUUUCAUAAAAAUUUAUAAUAGAAUUUUAUUUUUUAGUCAAAAAGCUAAAAUAUAUUUAAAAGACGAGAAGACCCUAUAAAUCUUUAUAUUUAAAUUAUUAUAAUUUUGAAGAUUUAUUUUGUUGUAAUAAUUAAUAAUAUUUUAUUGGGGUGAUAUUAAAAUUUAAUAAACUUUUAAUUUUAAAAUUCAUUAAUUUAUGAAUAAUG
rnacentral:rRNA from 1 species